rnacentral:rRNA from 1 species
AGCGAACGCUGGCGGCAGGCUUAACACAUGCAAGUCGAACGGGCAUCUUCGGAUGUCAGUGGCAGACGGGUGAGUAACACGUGGGAACGUACCCUUCGGUUCGGAAUAACUCAGGGAAACUUGAGCUAAUACCGGAUACGCCCUUUUGGGGAAAGGUUUACUGCCGAAGGAUCGGCCCGCGUCUGAUUAGCUUGUUGGUGGGGUAACGGCCUACCAAGGCGACGAUCAGUAGCUGGUCUGAGAGGAUGAUCAGCCACACUGGGACUGAGACACGGCCCAGACUCCUACGGGAGGCAGCAGUGGGGAAUAUUGGACAAUGGGCGCAAGCCUGAUCCAGCCAUGCCGCGUGAGUGAUGAAGGCCUUAGGGUUGUAAAGCUCUUUUGUCCGGGACGAUAAUGACGGUACCGGAAGAAUAAGCCCCGGCUAACUUCGU